GGAAACUUGGAAACUACCUUUGGAUAAAAAAUGGACAUCCGAGAUCCGUCCACAUCAUCAAGAGUAAAAAUUUUACUUGCAGUAAAUCCGUUAAUAAAACUUUUACUCGUGAUGAAGUAGACGAAUCUCGGACGUCUAUUGUUCGAUCUAACAGUAGUUUCCAUGUUUUU
rnacentral:pre_miRNA from 3 species